rnacentral:lncRNA from 1 species
GUGCUAGAUGCUAGUACAGGCUCUAUGUUCUCACAAACAAACCUCUGCCCUCAUGGAGUUCACAUUCUAAUGGGGAAAUGAUUGUCUACUCUUACAGAGAGAGGAGUUUAAGCGUUUAUAUGAGGGAUUAUUACAAGACAGCAAAAAGACCCUGCGCGCUCCAGUCUCGGUAGUGGAGCGGCCUCCCGCCGUCUCCUCUGCAAAUGGGCUCCGUGGCCUAGCGCCUCCGUCCCCACCACCCGUGAUCGUGCGCCGAGGCCGGAGGGGUCGCCGCCCAGGUCCCACCAGCCCGCAAGUCAGAACAUGGCCGCCAUCCCCUCCAGCGGCUCACUCGUGGCCACCCACGACUACUACCGGCGCCGCCUGGGUUCCACCUCCAGCAACAACUCCUGCAGUAGUACCGACUGCCCCCGGAAGCCAUUCCCCACCCUCCAGGUCAGAUCCUGUCUGCUGCUUGAAGUUACGUCAUAUCUCUGCUGAACCGUCAGAGCAUCUUGACUUCCGAAUGUGUCUUUUGUCUUAUUUUUCCUCUGCUGUUCAGAACCAGGCAAGCAGACCUCCUGGUAGGGUCUGAAUCAUGUUGAACAACUGCCCCUCAACAUACCCAAUUGUUUCCCCAGGGCAGGGCUUUGAUCCGGCUCACAGCCAGGGCUUCAUCACCUCCAGUGGUAGGCAGCUCGCUCCUCAUGAAGCAACAAAUCCUAAUUGUGAUCUAAUUUUAAGUCAUUGUUUUCUUAGUAUGAGUGGAAAUCAACUUUGUUGUUUCCUUCAUGCUUUAGUAAAGAAUAACAAAUGUGUUAGAUGUUGAGUAUUUAGAUUGUAAUCAUUCUGCUAAGCUAAAAUUUGUGGCAAAAAUAGAGGUUCUUUGACCUCAAGUUACUCACAGUCAUUAGGACUUGUGAGGAAGAUAUACUCUUUGUAACUUUUUUUUUUUUUUUUUUUUUUUUUGAGAUGGAGUCUCUUUGUCACCCAGGCUGGAAGGCAGUGGCACAAUCUUGGCUCACUGCAACCUCCACCUCCUGGGUUCAAGCAAUUCUCCUGCCUC